GCUGGGUGUGGUGGCGCACGCCUGUAAUCCCAGAAACCUGAGAGGCUGAGGCAGGAGGAUCAUGAGUUCAGGGCCAGUCUCAGCAAUUUAGUGAGACUCUGUCCCUA
rnacentral:sRNA from 1 species